rnacentral:rRNA from 1 species
GCAAAACGCGAAGAACCUUACCCGGGUUUGAACGUAGGGAGACAGGAGUGGAAACAUUCUUUUCAGCAAUGACUGCCUACGAGGUGCUGCAUGGUUGUCGUCAGCUCGUGCCGUGAGGUGCCGGCUUAAGUGCCAUAACGAGCGCAACCCUUAUUUCCAGUUACUAACAGGUAAUGCUGAGGACUCUGGAGAGACUGCCAGCGUAAGCUGUGAGGAAGGUGGGGAUGACGUCAAAUCAGCACGGCCCUUACAUCCGGGGCGACACACGUGUUACAAUGGUAAGGACAAAGGGCAGCUACCGGGCGACCGGAUGCGAAUCUCUAAACCUUAUCUCAGUUCGGAUCGGAGUCUGCAACUCGACUCCGUGAAGCUGGAUUCGCUAGUAAUCGCGCAUCAGCCAUGGCGCGGUGAAUACGUUCCCGGGUCUUGUACACACCG